CUCCUUGCAGCAGAUGGGGGCACUGCUCAAAGUCAGAGAUGACCUGGUCCUGGGGAUGCACGGAGAGGAUCUAGACUGGAGUCAGAUGCCCACCGGGAAGCUUGGCUCAACAUAGGGGCCCUUGCAAGGACAGGGGCCUCACUCACCUUCCUAUAGACACACUGGCCACCUCUCAGCUCCAGGAACAUGGCAAGUCCUUUCUACCUCAGGGCCUUUGCACACACUGAUCCCUCUGUUACAGCCAAAGCUCAGUGCAUAGCAAAAGCUCGAGUGUGGGUCCUGUCUCUUAGGCCACAUAUGCCACUUUAAAGUCUUCAGCCGCAGUUUCCAUAUCUAAAAUGUAUUGAAAAUGCAUUUCUCUCACAAGGUUCUUGUGAGAACAAGAUGAGACAAUGAACAUAAUUGGGCUUUGGCAAAUAUCCUCUCACCUCAUGUGAGGGCUGCAUGAUCUUUCUUCUUAACCCCCCAGUGAGAAUGGUGGUAACCUUGAGUUAAACACAGAUGGCUCCGGAAACACAUGUCCAGAAGUGUCUGCCUAAAAAGUAUGCUUGCAGAGGUCCUGUGAGGUGUCCUGACUCUUGGCCAAUGGCUGCAAUUCCAUUGUUCUUAUCACAAGCCUGUAUCGUCAACUCAAAGCCCAUUAGAGUCAUCAGUCCUUCACCUCUGCCUGAGACACAGACAGUCUGCAAAUCUGGAUGCUUCACGUCUCAAUCAGCCUCACAUCCACCUGUCCAAGCACCUGAGACACCGGGACCCAGCAGGGCACCCACUCAGUGGCAUCUCCCAGGACAAGCCAAAUAUCAUCCCCCCACUGAGACCCACUGGGCCGCUCCAGGUGUUUCCUUGCCUCCUCUUCUGAAAAUUCGGGACUGCCAUACAGACACCUCCCGGCUCUUCUGUGUGGUCAGGCGCCCUGUCCAUCUUCCUCGCGCUGACUCUCCAGACUCUUUGGAAAGAGUAAAUCCGUGUGCAGAGCACCUGGCUCCAGAGCUUUGGGGCCUCAGGUACGGCCACAUCCCCAUCCCAGCAGCUCUGGCUCAGAGGCCUUCCGCGGGGUCUCAGGGCCAAGGCUGGUCGAGUGUUCCUUGCCCCACAGGCCCAGCGUGGAAUCUCGUUUCUGCCUUCUGCAGAGGGCAGCCUGGAGAGCGCCUCCCGCCACCUGAGAACCAGAGAGGAUGCGAGGAGCCACCGAGAGAGGUCCAGGGCCCAAGUUAGCACUGCCACCUGGAGGUGUGGGCCAGGCCCCUUGCCCCUCUGGGGCACGGCAGAGCCCUAUUCCCCUGGCCCCCGGCUCUACAGCAGAGGGGGCCAGUUGUGCUGGUAGGGCAGCCACACCUGCCUGAUGAAGUAAGAGUUGGUGGGUAUACCCUUCAGUCCCUCAACCUCACAGACAGAUCCCCCGGGGGAGCGAGCCAGAGACACACCUAUUCACCAUUUCAUGCUUAAUUUGCUUAUCUGUAGUCACUGUCCUGUUUCCUGUGUCCCCACUGUGCCCCCAGGCUGGAGUCACCUCCUAGAAAAACUGCUUGCACCCAAAUCCUUGUCUUAGGGCCUGCUUCUGGGAGCCCAACUGCAGAGCCACACGGGACUGGGUCACUCCGAGCCUGGGGGCCAGCAGGGAGCUGUGCUGGGAGAUGCUGUCUCCAUGGCCUUGUGGCUCCAGCGUUGCCUGGCUCUUCCUCAAUGUGGCUGCCUCACCCCCAUACCCAGGGCAUGGAAAAGUCAGGAACUUCUGCCUGUGGUCUGGCUUGUACAGUGACCUUCUGCUCCCAGGACGUAGCAUCCUCCUCCAUGGGAAGACCGGGCAGUUGGGAAAAAAAUGAAACUGCUUGGGGCCGGCUUCAGGAGGAGCAGGAGGGAGCUCUCACUCACCUCCUGUGAAAUGGGUGUGCUGGCUUUGUAUUUAGAGAGAAGGCUGUCAGGGGAGAGGGGAGAAAGGGCUGAUUCAUCAGUUUCUAAUGACACUAAUAGGCAGCAUCUGUGAGCCCUCCUGAGGCUUCAUCACAGGAGGAAGGGGGUGAUUUUCUUGCUGCGGCUUCGACAUCAGAGUCCCCAUCUCCGCCUCCCUGAAGUGUGUCAGGCACUGGCUUUUCACAGGAAAGCUGCCUGAUGCCAGGGCAAAAAGCAAGUCAUAAAAUAUUCAUCUGCUGAGGCCGGAGAAUGGAAGCGAUCGUGUCCUCCUGGAGAGGUAGAGUCCUAAAUUAAAGCCGUGCACAGACCCAGAAAAAAGCACAUGCCCGACCAGCAGACAGUCCCAGGCACAUGUGGGAACUACACAGCCUCGCAUGUACACAAAAGCAAGUGCCUAACAUGCACACAUGCACACAUAUGUGUACCAGUCACACACCUAUGCGGCACUCAAGCCAGCGCUGAGGCCACAUGGAUGCCACAUGGGAGCACGCACGCACAAUGCACGUACAUGUGACCCCCACUGAACGUGAGCACCCACUCACAUAUCUAUUCCGGUAUCAUUGCAAUGAAAUGCUGACAUCUUAGCUGGUGUACUGGGCACAGAAGAGCCCAUGACCCGGCUCUGACUUUGGAACUAUAGUCGCCUGUCUGGCUGUCCUGGGGAGGCUGGGAAGAAAGCAAAUGCUGUGCCGGGAGAAGUGUGACUCAGAGGUAGGUUACACAACUCCAUCCUGCCUGUGUGCUCAGCCCAGGAUGGGGCCAAAAGGAAGAAAGCUUGCAAAUGUGAAAGUGGAAAGGGCUGCUACAUUUCUGGAAGCUUCCACAUACCAUGUUGCUUGUCUGGGCUGGUGGAGGCUGAGGCUCCCUGAGGGCAGCAUGUGGUGCUCCUGCACUGUCAUGACCCCAGAGGGGUGGGGAAUCACCUUCCCACUAGAGCCAGACCUACUCCUGCCUAUCUGACCUGCCACCCAGGGCUCCAGCCCGCCUGCAGCGACAGCGGCUCAGACCCUGGGCUCUUAAGGUAAGCAUGUAUGUUGGCCUGGGCUUGCAAGGGUGAUUCUGCCUUCAGAUUGUUCUAGAAGCUCUCUGAUGGAGCAGCUCACAACGUAAGACUGAUGCCAGACCUAAUUUUUUGAAACCACCUCAGUUCGCAGACCUCCUGAGAGAACGACAAUGUUCCAGGUCCUUGGGAUGCUGCGCUUUUCCCUUUCUCCAUUCUGCAACUAUCCCCUGAACAUAUACCGGGAGCUAGGGCCUGGGGUGACAGAGCUGGCUGCCCUAGGAUCCCACCUCCUACAAGGCAAGCAGACAAGGGCCAAGAGACUAUUGCUGUUUGCUCUUGGAGAAGGGGACUCUGAUUCUAGGAGAUUAAGAAGUUGGCCAAAGAGCUAAGUAUGUGUUUGAGUGGGUGGGAGGUGGGUGGGCCAGGCGUUGGAGGAUGGAAGGAGGAGAUUUAAAUUCGGAGCAGAAAAGCAGCAUUCACAAAAAGAGCACAGCUUCCUACAAAGGCAAUUAUAGAUCAGGGGCUGCCAAACUACAGUUUAUGGGCCGAUUCCAGCUUACAUCCUGUUUUUGUUAAUAAAGUUUUAUUGGCAUGCAGCCACGGCCGUUCGUUUAUGUAUCAUCAUUGGCUGCUUUUGAGCAACGAUGGCAGAGUGGACCAGUCACAGCAUGGCCCUCAAAGCCUAAGAUAUUUACCAUCUGACUGUUUACAGAACACAUUUGCCAACCCCUAUUCUAGAUCGAUCAGUUAGAUAGAACCCAUUGUAGAAUCCUCAGAACACCCAUAGACUAUCUAGAACCCACUGCCUAAGUCUAGAGCCCAGCACGGUUUUCUAGAGCUCCCUGUAAGAAUAACAUUUGUGUGGGGAUUUAGCCGUUUACAGUGAGCUUUUGCAUCAAUUAUCCCAUUUAAUCCUUCAACAAGCCUGUGUGAGGUUAAUGGUAAUUUUAUCCCAAUUUUGCAGAUGAAAAAACUAAGACAAAGGGAAAUAAAGAGACUUGCUGAAGACCACAUGGCUGGGGACAGCCGAGCCCUGGGCAGCCCGAUCCUAACGUUCCAUGCUCUUUCCACCACAUUAACCUACAGAUGUUUCUCUGUCACACAUUCCACCACCGAGCUGCCCUCCCUGACAAGCCAUUUCCCUCCUCCUUCCUAACAUCUCUGCUGCCACUGAGGAAGCCUUUUUGUCCAUUGUGCUGCCUUAGUGGGAGAGAGCGUUUGGAAGAGAAUCGAAUUUCCUUUCUGCAUCUGUGUGCUGGUGCCCAGUGCACCCUGGGACGCUAACGAACAGUGACAGAUGAGCUUCAAUUGGCUGGCGCGUGUGAGGAACCACUGGACCAGGCAAAAGAAAGCAUCAUCGGAGCCCAGCAAGGGAGGAGGAGAGAGGCUUUGCUUCAUGAAAGCCUGAACAGCAUCCAACCGAAACCAGCCGCCGCCGCCGCGCCCUGACGUGGUACUCUGCAGUUUUCAGAGUGCAUCGCAUCCAUUAUCUCCCCUGACCCGCAGACAGGCCGGCGAAGAAGGCUGAUAUGAGGUCACCCAGCCCCGUGCGUGCAGCCCCUCAAAUGCCUCCUGCGUUCCACCCCUUCUUCUCCAUUGCAUGGCCACUGCCCUUUCAAUUUCUCCCGGGAUUGUUGCAAUAGCGUCUCACUGUCUCCUGCUCCCAGCCCGCACCCUCCUGUGCCCCCUUGCUGAGUAAUCUUUUUGCACCGAAAAUUUGUUCAGCCUACAGAUGGUGUCACAGCCUCCAGUGGCCCCACCAGCUAUAGACUAAAGUCCCAACUCCCAUGUGUUCAAGGACAGCUACCCCUCUCUACAAGCCCCUUUCCUUGCAGUUUCCCUUGGAGGUGAUGAUGAGCUUUCUGAAUACACCAACCUCUUCUGGGGCCAUACCUCUUCUCAUGCCAUGAGCCUAGGCUGGACCUCUGGUCUCUUCCGUCUUGCUGACCAACCCUUAGGCUUCUUUAAGACCCAGUUCAGCAUCACUGACUUCAGGGGUCCCCUGCCCACCUGGCUGCCCAUGUUCCCAUGGAGCUUGUACCCAAGGCUGUUGUAUUCCUUACCAGCUAAUUGUCCCCUUGGUCCUUCCUGCACCCAUUCCCUCUUGUACUGCACUGGGAACUUGUCAAGCUGAGAGAUAGUGCUCCUCACUGCCAGAUCCUCUCCACCCAGUGUGGUUCAGGCACCUAGUAGCUGCUCAGCUGGCAUUGAUGAAAUUGAGUUUAUAGGUGAGGGCACCGAGGCUCAGAGCAGUUAAGGCUGGGGAGACGCCCAGCUGGUAUCCUUCUCCUGUCACUACCCCUCCCUGCCUCCCUGUUUGCUCUGGGGUCUCAGCAUCAUCCACAACCCACAUACCACUGUUCAGUUACCAAAGAUACCCCUGACUUGUCUCUGCCCAACCCUUCCUUCCUCAUCUUUUCUCCAUCAGCUUCACAACCUUGGACCAGCAAGGCCAUUGCAAUACAAGCCGAGGUUGGGAAGAGUGAGGCUCAGAGACCACAGAGAUACUUUGACACAUGGAAAAAGGCAAGACUUCCUUCCCAGGAGAUUUAUCAUUCUUCAAAAAAAUGGGGUUCUCAAAGAUUCAAGGUAUUUGCUAUUCAUGCUAUUCAUGCAAACACGCUUGCACCUUGGUGUUUUAUGGUAAGGAUUCUGGGAACCAUAGGGAAGACCAGAAUCUCCAUUCCUGACACCCGUGUACUGGAAGCCACUCCCCUCGCCUCUCCCAAAUUAAAUCCACUUGGAGCCUCAGAAUGGGACAUUUCUUGGAAUAAGGAUCUCAGUAGACAUAAUUAGAGUAAGGGAGAGAUGACCUCAUCCUGGAGGAGGGUGGACCCUUAGUCCAAUGACAAGUGUCCUUAUGGGAGACAGUAAGGAGAAGACACAUAGACACAGGGGAGAAGGUCCUGUGAAGACAAAGGCAGAAGCUGCAAUGAUGGGUUUACAAGCCAAGGAAUGCCAGGGGUUUCUGGCAUCACAGAAUCUAGGAGAGUAUCUGGAAUGGACUUUUUUUUUUUCCCCAAGGUCAUUGCUUACUUUUAUUUAUUUAGUGAUUUUUAUUUUUUUCCAUUACAGUUGGUUUUCAGUGGUCUGUCAAUUCUCUACUAUACAGCAAAGUGACCCAGUCACACAUACAUAUAUACAUUUUUUAUCACAUUAUCUUCUAUCAUGUUCCAUCACAAGUGAGUAUAUAUAGUUCCUAGUGCUAUACAGCAGGAUCUCAUUGCUUAUCCAUUCCAAAGGCAAUAAUUUGCAUCUGGAAUGGACUUUCAGAGCUUCCAGAAGGAACCAAUCCUGCCAACACCCUGAUUUCAGACAUCUGGCCUCUAGAACUGUUGAGAACUGUUACUUCAAGCCACCCAAUUGUGGUCAUUUGUCACCUAGGCACCUCUAGUAAGUGAAUGAAAUGGAGCAGUAUAAAAAUACAAGGGAAGCCCAGCAGGGCCAUCGGGACCAGGAAGUCGGGGGUCCUCACCCCUCGCCAUCACGUGUGGGUACCCUCUGCUUCUCUUCCUGGCACCUCUCAGCUCCUCUAUCACUCUGCUCUUCCAGCUGCCACCAGCCCGCCACAUUGCCCCUCCAGAGGUCCUCCCUUUGCUUAAGGCUCUGCUGCUGAGCUGUCCUGUGUCUAUCAGUCUGGGGUCUUUCCAUGUCUGUUACAUAUGCUAACCUGCCAACUCUCUCAUUAUAUUAAAAAUGUCCAAGAGAGGUGAGCUGAUGGUUGAGCUCACCACCAUCACCCCCCAAAGGGCAAAGCUUUCACCCCAGGCCAGCUCACAGGCAGCAGACCUUGGCCCUGAUCCUCCAGGCAUGGCCAGGGAGGUGGGCCAGGCAUUCCCAUCAGCACAGGGGGCCCUGGAAGGGCAGGACAGAUGCCUGGAAACAGUCCCAGGUUGGUGGCCCCUUCACUGCUGAGACUAAACUUCCUGCAGAAUUGAAGAAUAGGCAGUAGGAAGGCGAAAGGGAAGAAGCACUUUUUUUUUUUUUUCCAAUAGAAGAAGGAAAGUGUCAUCAAUAGAAGCUGUUGAAAAGUCCAAAUUGCAACCUUCUUGCCUCCUUUUGAUGAGCUGCCUUGAUGAGCUGUUUAGAAGAGCUCAUUGCUCUGGGUCAGCGUGACAGCUGUUGAUGACAAGGGGUAGGCGGGGAGAGGUUAGGCAGGAGGAAUAUGCGGCCAGGGCCUUGGCCAUGAUGGAUAUGCACCAAGCCUGUGCACCCCAGGUCUUUGCAAAGGGUCCAUGACAAACAGCCCAUGGUGCAUUGGGCUGUUUUACUGUAAUUCACUCCCCAAAUGCUUCUGGUGUGCAGCCCUGUGCUGAAGACACUGCCCAGACAUCCUCUCAUUUACUUUCUCCCAAGCUCCAGAGAGUGGAUGUCAGGUUGAGCUUAUGUAGUUCAGGGAUUGCAGAUGUGAACACCCAAAGUCCCAGGACCAGUACGUGAUGGAGUCAGGAUUCAAACUUAGGUCAGAGGAGGCUAGAGACAUGGCUGAGCACAGUGUAUGGUCCUUGGGGGCAUGAAGGAGAGCUAUAAAGGAUGUUAUGAGGAAUCCAGAUCAGAUAAUAGUUUUCUAUGGAGGUUAAAUUUCCCGAGUUUAAUAACUAUACUAUGAAAAUGUAGGAGAAGUUUAAGACUAAUAGGAACAAUGUCCCCAGUGUACUCUUAAAUAGAUGAGGGAGGGGAUGCGUGGAGGGAGAGAGGGAGAGAAUGAGAAAGGGAGAAUAAUAAAGUGAAUGAGACAAAAUGUGGUGAACUAUGGGUUGAUUUGCAUCUCCUAGAAUUUUAUAUAAACGUUAUUAUGUUGAAUGUACUCCUUUUUGCUGGCUUCUCUUGUACAUAAUUUCUUUGAGAGCCAUCCAUGUUGUAGCAGGCAUCCAAAUUCAUUCCUUUUCAUAGCUAAGUAGUAUUUCAUCUAACGGAUAAACCAGUUAGUCUAUUCAUUCCCCUGCUGUUGGACACUGGUUGUUUUCAGUUUUGGGCAGUCAGGAAUCAAGCAGCCAUGAUUUGUGUCCCAGUUCUUUGGGUGGGCAUUGCUUUUGUUUCAACAGAAUGCCUAGAUCAUAUAUAUGGUAGGUGUGUGUUAACUGUUUAAGAAAUUGCCCAACUAUUUUCCAAAGCAGCUGUACCCCCCAGUAGUGCACGAGGCUUCCUGUUUCUCCACAUUCUUUCCUUGGUAUGGACUGACUUGGUAUUGCUGGUCUUUUCCAUUAGAGCCCUUCCAGUGGACCUGUAGUGAUGUCUCCUUGUGGUUUUCACUUGCAUUUUCCUAGUGACCAGUGGUGUUGCUCUUAUCCCCCUGCCAUUCCCUCUCCUGCUUUUCUGGGGGCACUGCGACCUUCUGGGGCAAGACCUCAGGGACUUGCCCCUACAGCCCAGAGGUGAACAGUCACGUCCCGAACAGAAAGCAUGCAAGUGGAUGGGCCCAGGAUGAAGACUGGAGGGCCACAUAAGAGCCUGGGGUGCUUUCAGGCCAAGGUAUUUGUCCCAUGGCUCUGACGAGCAGAACCCACCCUUCAGAUGGGGCACCCACCUGCUCAGCAGCCCAUGCUCGAGCUUUUCCACAGGCAGUCAGUACACAGGAUACUUCAGGUCCUAACCCUCAGACGUGAUGUGUUUGCUCAACAACCCUUAAGUUCCUCCCCUGUGUUCAGUUCUGUGACCAGUAUAAGCCUUUGAUGGGUUUUGGUUAUUGGCAAUUAUCAGAGUAAAGUGAAAACUCUCAAGGAUAAUCUGCAAGGCCUUUCUUGAUCAAGUUCCUAAAUUUGGUCUUUCCUACCACAUCCUUCCACAUCCCUCCAGCCUACGCUCCACAUCUAACAAACACCCCAGUGUCCCAGACUUGCCAGCUCCUUCCUGCCUCCCUGCCUUAACCUUCCCUCCUGCUUCUCCCUCCCUUGGCCAGUGGAGACCUUCUCAGCCUGUCACAGCACCAAGCGUCCCUUGUGCCUCUCCUCAACCUCAAAGGAUGGUUUUUUCAGGACCAGCAUGGUCUCAACUGGAUCCAUGUACAGUUUAUGCGGGUCACGGGGAGUGGGGAGGGGCCUGUGAGCCGAAAGGCUGGAUGCUGUUACACACCCACUGCAGCACACAGAGGUUCCUCGUCAGCUGGGCCCGGCUGAAUUGAGUGCAUUUCUGCACCAUGCCUUCCCCCCCCUGAUCGUGGGGACUGGGAUGACUCCCCACCGCCACCACUCCCACAUGUGGCUCACAAGUCACUCCAAUUGCCGGAGGUGGCACCCGCCAUGUUCUGAAAAGCUAAGUGCCUUCGCCCCCUUCGCCACCCUUACCUGGAACAGCCAUUUUUGUUGUGUGAACACAUGGCCCGGGAACUUAAACACUAAAACCAGUUAGUUCCUCAGGGGGCGUCAUCUUAACCAUGCCAAACUCAACAAGAUAUAAACUGGUCCUAGAAGCCUUCUCUUCCUCCUUCCUUCAUUUUUUUUUUUUUUCUUUUUCUUGUUCCAGCAGCACUUAUCCAUCUGUGCUUCCACCACAGAGCUAUUCCCACUAGAAAUGCCGUGAAACCUUUCAAAUAAAAUAUUUAACGUGUGGAUCCAGUAAUUUUAUGUUGUGAGUUAUGAAACCUUUAUUCAGGUCCCACCUUUUAUUAAACUUCAGGGUUCGCCUUUGGUCUCUAAUGACAUUAUGUUGCAUCAGAAUUAGACAGUUUUUUACAGGGGUUUGUAUUAUUUGUUGUGACUCGGUAAUGCUAAUGUUUAAAUUUUGAGUCCUUUUACUGCUGAUUAAACCUCUAAAGACUACAGCAGAAUUUCCGCUUCGCUGCUAGAAGAAAAGAAAACAGCGCGGUUUGUUCUGAGGAGAUCACUUGAAGAAUGUGCGGGAAGGUGGCUGCAUUUAUGAAUAAAGCGAGGCAUUAUCAUUUUUAAUAGGAAUUAAACAGCUAGAGGGAGAAGUCGGGCAAUGCUGUGAUCAGUGCAAAGGAAAACAAUCUAACAAUUUUAAUUAACUGUAUUUUAAUAGCUUUAGUUAUAAUUGAAUAAUUUAAAUACCAAGGGAAACAGUUAAAUCUCCUAAAAGCCUUUUUUUAUUUACAUUUUAAAUACAGUUCACGGUGAAGAGAUGACAGUACAAGUGCUGGGAGCAAAUCACCGGGUCGACUCCAGCAGCCGGGCAAGCCCACGAGAGGUAGGAUGGAGCCCGAGUGAUCCCGGGCCGGGGACUGGCGUGCCUCGCUGCCUCGGCCGAGAUGGGCCCCAGAAAGAACCCAGGGCAGCAGUGGGCAGUGAGGACUUCCCAUCCCGCCCAGGGCCUACAGCUCGUCUGACGUCAAAGCUCAAAGCCCCCAGGCCAGUGGGGCCUGGAGUGACUCUUGCUAUUCAUUCAACGUUCAAGCGAUAUUUAUUGCAGGCCUACAGUAACAACCACCACGGCAGUAAUAAAACAGUAGAAGUAACAGCUGACACUUACUGAGGGCUUCCUGAAUGUUUGGGGCCAGCAAUAACGGCAAGUGCGGGAGGGAGUUGGUUCCCUACCCUCCUGGAGUCUUUCCGCUGGAGGGAGCGACUGCGCAUGCGCAGAUGAAUUACCAACUACACAAGAUAAGUACAAAUUAGGAUAAGAAGCCCAAAGGAAAAAAGAACAGGAUGCUAAAAUAGAGGAUAGUGGGACAGAAGGUGUAGAUUAUUUUGUUUUCAUUUUGUUGCUUUUUAGGGCGGCACCGGCGGCAUAUGGAAGUUCUGAGGCUGGGGUUGAAUCAGAGUUAUGGCUACCAGCCUACGCCACAGCCACAGCAAUGCAGGAUCCAAACCGCAUCUGUGACCCACACCACGGCCCAUGGCAACACUGGGUUCUUAACCGACUAAGCAAGGCCAGGGAUGGAACCCACAUCCUCAUGGAUACUAGCUGGGUUUGUUACCACUGAGCCACAAUGGGAAUUCCAGAUGAUUUUAGAUAAGGUGGGCAGGGGUGGUUCUUCCCUGGAGUUGAUACUCAGACAAGACUUUGAGAAGGAUGGGGUGGGGGCUGGUAUCAAAGCCUGAGGCAGCUGGAGCUUCUCUGCCAGAUAGAGCAACAAGUGCAAAGGCCCUGGGGUAGGGAAAGAUGUUUAGAGUGUUGAGAGGAAUUGAGGAGAACUGGCAGUGGCGAGACCACAGGGAGGAGAGCAAGGUGAUGAAAGGUGGGGGGAAGAACCUGCCAGGGCACAAGGUGCAGGACAUCACUGGAAGGUUGAAGCAUUGAAAUGGUGCAAUUUGAUUAGUGAAUAUAAAAGGUCUCUGAUGUUUUCCUAUGCCUUGUGCUGGGGUGUGAACUCCCUCCCUCACCCCUGUGGUCCUGCCCAGGAACUACAGCUAGGCCCCUCCCUGGAUUGUGGUUGGAAUGAGAGCCCCUACCCCAACUUCUACCCCAUCCUGCACUAUGCCUGCAGCCCUACCCCGCAGCCAGCCCCUGUCAGCAUUCCUAAUACCCUAGUUCCCAAGCAUGUCCGCUCUGAGAACUGUCUUUGUUCGACGUCCCUUGCUCAUCGGGGCCCCAUCUGGAACUGAACGGACUCCUCCAGCCACUGUCAGCCCCAAAACCAUGGAGCCUCGGCCUCCCAAACUCCAUCCAUCCCCACUAGCCGAAGAUCCCAGCUACUGCAUGUCUACCCUUGGCUGGGGCCACUGUGUACUGACUAACAGUUACUCCCUGAGAAGACCAGCCACUGCCUACUCAAUGUCCUUCCUAUCUUCCCACCAGCCUGCUGAUAAAGCCCCCUUGUGCCUUGCAGCCAAGUCCUUCUGAGACAUGAGAAUCUCCUUCAGUGCUAAUGAGGAGGACUGGGCCAGGAAAAUUCACCGUCUGUGAAGAUGGGACACUGGGAGAUGGCAAGGUCCGCUCCGCAGGGGGCAGUCGGGGUCAGAGCAGAUGCUGCUAAUGGACAGUGAUUGGGGUUGCCAUCCCCUUCCAUUAGGAGCUGGCCACUCCCACAGCUCCAGGCCAUCCUUGGAGGCCUGGUGUCCUCUCCUGCUGGGGAAAGACUGGGCUGGUUCACUAAUGGGGCCCCCAGCCAGCUCAGAGAACAGCAGGGGAAAGCCCCUGCCAGAACAAUCCAUUUCUCCUCCCCCCACCAGGAACCUCACCGGCUUCUCCGAGAGCUCCAUGCAGGAGGGACCAGCUCAGACUCCAAGCCAAAGAAAGCACUGCAAGUGUAUUCACAAUAGGAUUUGAGAAUAUUCCUUCCAGAGCGGAGGGGCCAGCCAUGUGGGGCGCUGAAAUGAUCUGUGGACAUGGGGCCCAGCAGGACUGAGCAGAAUAGUGAUCACCCACAUGCUGAGUAUAUGCUCUAACUCCACCCCCGGGGGGGAGCACCCUGAGCGGAGCCCCAUCAUCCCAGCUUCACAAAGAGGACAUGAACAGCAGAAGGUGUGGCAAGUUGUGGAAGUCACCUGGCUGGUGUGUGUUGGAUGAGGACCUGGCAGGCUGUGCCCUCGUUCUUAACCACCGUGCUGUCUGCUCGCUCCGAUCCCAGCCCUGGUCUGACACUUGCUGGCUUGGUGUUGCCCAGCAGCAUUGUCCACGCCAUACCCUCCCAAUGUGCUCCACAAACAGUUAUCAAGUGUCUCCUCUGUGCCUCUCAUUUACAGAAGAAAUGGAUGCUGGGGGAGCCUACAUAAAUGCACACAACUGUUCCUGUCCCAAAACUUGAGCCACGGUCCCAUAAAGCCCAAUUUCUCCCCUCCUCAAAGAUGCUCUUCAGUGACAGCUGCAGUGGGGUUGGGUGCUUGCCCUCCUGGUUCACGGCAGGGCUGCUGGGCUAUGUCCAGGACAGGUAGCAGGGGAGGCAGGGAAGAGGUGGUACUCCUCCAGGCAUAAGGGUGCAGGCACAACAUGUAUUGAGAGUCAGAGUCCGUAGUCCAGAGAUCAGGACCUGAUGGGGGGCAUCUCAAAUGCUCCUUCUGCAUAUGGUCAAGGGGAGCCCAGGUGGGGUAUCCCACAGGAGCAGUCCGAGGCUCUCUUUGCUCCAGGUUCCUAGAGUACCAGGUUGAACACAGACUGGGACCAUGUCCUGCUCCAGCCCCCAGGCAAGGGUUGCCCCUUGGAGGAGCCCCUGGCCUGCACUAAGGAAAACUGAAAGAGGGAAGGUGAGAGCUGGCCUGGACAGAGCGACCAAGAGGAGAAGAAAGGCCCAGAUCAGUGGGUGGCAAAGCUGGGGGUGGGGUCGGCAGUAUGGACUGCUGUGAUCUGUCCUGGGCACCCAGGACUCCCCUGCAGGACCACAGGACUUUCUCCUCCAGAUGCUGGGAAGACUGUCAGCUGAUAAGGGCUCCAUGGUCAGCCCUCUUUAGGAGUCUAAAGAGAGCUGCAGCAUUCCCAUCAUGGCUCAGUGGUAAUGAGCCCAACUAGUAUCCAUGAGGACUCAGGUUGGAUCCCUGGCCUCGAUCAGUGGGUUAAGGAUCUGGUGUUGCUGUGAGCUGUGGUGUAGGUCGCAGAUGUGGCUCAGAUCCCACAUGGCUGUGGCUGUGGUGUAGGCCAGCACCUGCAGCUGCAAUUCGACCUCUAGUCUGGGAACUUCCAUAUGCUGCGGGUAUGGCCCUAAAAAGAAAAAAUAAAUAAAUAAAAAAGCGAGCGAGCGAGGGAGUGAGGGCGAGAGAGAGAGCGAGAGCCCUGCAUUGUCAAGGUCAUGCCUUCUCCCCAGGGAAUCCCACCUCCACUAACUGACCGUGUGGAGGUGGAGAGGCCCAGCCACUUUGCCUAAAUGCAGGACCCCUGUGGGGGGCCACCAGCUUCAGCGCUUUCCCAUGGGGCCAGCUGAGGCCAUGACUUCAUUGAACCCUGAUUUCUCCUUUGGCCAUGUCUGCUUUCUGCCAUUAUCCUGUAGGUCUGGAUGAUCAGAACACUAAUCUCUAAUUUCUAGCUCAGAGCCUGCUUCCUGGGGAACCCAACCUGUAGCAGCUACUGACUGACCCAAAUCUAACACAUACUCAAUAAAUCUGCAUCUAGUUCCUGUCGUGGAAUAGAUGUACAUGGGCACUGGGGACAGAUCCACAGAUGGAACAUCUGGCGUGGGGUCCCAUCUGUCUGGAUAACCAGACAGGUAAGCCCAUCUCAGUAAAGUGGGUGGGUGCUGUCACAGGGGUUUGCUUCUGGAGGGCCCAACCAAGGCCACUCAUGUUUCCCCAAGGGCAUUCCUGCGUCCCAGAAUUGAAAGAGAGGAAGGAGCCAGCCUUCCUCCUUGACUCGACUCCCCCUGUAGUCAGCCUACCUGGCCUUGCGCAGGCUGCUCCUGUGCUGCUUCAGUGAUCGGACCUCCUGUGGUCUGAAGCGGCUCUGCAUAAGUACAGCCUCCUUCCUCAGAGUCUGUUCCCGCCUCUCUGUAGCUGGUCUUGUUCUCGGCCUGGGAACUUGCAGGAGUGGUCCAUUCUGGGGAUGCUGAGUGUAUCAGGGACUCCUGGACAGGUAGGAGGUGUAGUCACCGAGGGAAGCCCCCAGCACAUAGCGGUGUGGGAAGGGCUCCAUGCAUAAGUGCACAGGGAAGGGCUCUCCUGCUGGUGAGUGAAUGGGCUAUUGGAGGAGGUGCCUCCUGCCUGAGCCUGAUCUCCCCUCCAGUCUUGGAGUCUGUUCUCCCAUUUGGAACAAGUGCUCUGAGGAUAAAGCAUACUUUGGGAAAUGCUGCAGGUCUUCUCAGUGCCUUCAUCCCAGUGGGCCCUGGGACCCUGCAAAAGCAGGGCAGAGUAUGCUGCAUCUCCCCAAACUUCUUCUUUUUUUUUUUCAGAGCAUCUCUCAGGGCCAAUGUCUUAGAGAACAUGCUUUGGAAAAAAAAAAAAAUGCUGCUUUCAGAAAUUUCCAGAGCUGCUCCUGUUCUUGCUCAAAAGGGAAAGAGGAAUUCUGUCCUGGUGGAGGCUCCUAGCAGAAUGGGGGCAGGGGAGGCAGUGUUAUCUGAGAGUGGAGGAGAGCAGGGUGGGUGAGGAGGGGCAGGAAGCCAGGUGCCCCGUCUGUCACCUUCCCUGGAGCUGGGGGUGACAGUGGAGGACUGUCUGGGAAGCCAGAGCAAGAAGCCUGGGGAGGCUUGGGCGGCACUCCCGAGUCCCUGUUUCCGACAAACGCUGUGCUGCAGGCUGACAAAACCAACUCGAGUGUGCACCAGGCCAUCCUGCUCUCUGCCAGUUCAGAUGCUCAGACAGCGGGCUCUGGCUUCCAUCCUCCCUGACAUCUGAAUCACGGCGAGGCAGGAGGCAGGGCCCGGCCGGCUCCGGAGCGGGGAAAUGAUAAACAGAUGUCAGAGGACAAAGGGGCAGGAUGUGCUUGGAGGUUUGUGGCACAUCAGGCCUGCUUGCAACAGCCUUUCUCGCUCGGGAACCGAGAGGGUGGCGAGGCCAUGACAAAGGGAACCUGAUGGCAGAGGGGUUAAAGCCAUGGCCUUUGAAGCCUCACAGGCUGGGCAUGAUCCUGGCUCCAUCACUUGCUCAUUGUGUGAUCCCAGACGAGUUAUUUAAUCUGAUGUGUAAAGUAUGGAAAAUCAUCGUCCUUUACUCAAGACCGUGGCUUUGGAUGGAUUAAAUAAGAUGAUGCAUGAAAAAGACUUAACACAGUGCCUGGCACACCACGCUCAACAAAUUUAGUUGUUUAUGCUGCUGCUGCUGCUGUUGCUGCUGCUGCUGCUGGUAGUGCUGCUUGGGGAAUGGGUCCUGCUAGAUGAAAUGUUUAUUUGUCCAGCAAAUACACACUGUGCUCUGCUUGGUGCCAGGGGCCACGGCACCACCCUAGAUAUGACAGGCUGGGAGAGGCUGUGCCAAGAAGCCACUCUUGGCCACAGAGUGACAUCUAGACCCAGAACCCCCUGGACCAUUCUUCAAAUGAGAAGGCUAUGAAAGCAGCAGUAUGCAGGAAGCAUUGAAUGUGUCAGGACCUGACACCAUCAUCAGCUAGUGGCAGUGCAUGCCCUCCCGCAAGUUCCCUCUGCCAGACAGACUCUUAGUCAGCCUUCAAAACCCAGCCCAAAUGGCCCGUUUUUCCAGGCAGCCUUUCCCAAACAGCCUGAGCCCUCCUAGCACUUGAUGUCUGGCUUGGUUGUGGCACUUGCCAACUUCUAGUGGUGCAAAUGUUUACUCUUGUCUCUUUUUGGACUAGAGGGUGAGUGUGGAUAGGAAAUGUUUGGGGAACAAAAUAUAGUGAUACUUAGCUGUGUGGGUUAUGGAAUCAGUCAUGUGUGGGUUGAUAUCCUUGGAUACACCAAAUUUUGUGACCUUGGUGAAUUAGUUAACAUCUCUAAGCAUCAGUCACUUUACCUAUAAAGCCGAGCAAAAAUAUAGAUUUCCUGAAGCUGUUAUGAGGCUAAAAAGAGUCACUUGCCACCAAGGGCUUCGCACAGAACCUGACACACAGGAAUCACUAGGGACACUUGCUAACAUGAUUGGCUUUCUAUCUUUGUGUCUGUCUAGUCUUACCCUGGUUCUUGGCCUAUUGCAGGUGCUCUAUAAUUAGUUAUCAAUUGAAUAAAAUCAAUUCCCAAUCCCAGGACUCAGGAUCAAAAUCUAUCAAAUGAGGCCAUUUCAGCUAAAUCCUCUGCACCCAAAGAAAUUCUAAAGCAGUCCAGACCUACCCCUUCGAUUAGCAGAUGGGGAACUGAGGCCUGUGCAAUUGCGUGGGGCCACUGCAUGCAAGCAAAGGCACUCAGAUUCUCCUUGGUGAGCUGGAAUGUUAUUUUGGUUAGUUCUGCAGAGCGCGGGCUCUCAAUAGCCAGUCUCUUUCCCAUCUGAGCUGUUUUGUGUAGAGGAAAUAUCAAGGUGUAUGAUGUCAAGGCAGUUAAGUAAUCCAAGCAGCUGUGUAAACAUCUGGAAGUAGUAGAGACACAGCCCCCGAGUGAAAGCAGGGAUCAGUGCACCCAGACGUCUCGGAGAGGCUUCUAAACCAUCACCUGUGAGGAGCCAGCUAGGAGAGCAGUGCUCUGAUCAGAAACCUGAGCAUGCGUUCUUUGCUCUUCAGGCUCUGAGUCGUGGAGGCCAAGGAGGACAAGAAGGCCCCUGUGCCUGGUGUGACUUUGGAAAGUGGAUGUGAGGUUUAGGAAAGUCCUGCUAAUGACAUGUCAGCAGCAGCUGGAAACAAGUUGUCAGAUUCACAGGGAAUUGCCUCUUCUCACUCUUUCCCCAUGGCAGGGAGUGGAGGUGGACUGCCCUGAGCCCAGAUGCCCAAGAGAAAAGGCAGGGGCGUCUAGGGCUUCGCACUGGGAAUCCCCAAUCUGCUUUCUCCUUAGAAGUGAAUAUUCAUGACCCAGAGAGGCCAGUGGCAAAAGGUUCUGCAGGAGCUUCUAGCCCACUGCUCGAGUCCUGGAUGAGGGAAGAGGAGUCCAGAGAAGGAGGCUGCAUGGCCAAGGUCACACAGCUGGGAAGGGAAAGACUCAGAAGCAGGAGCCAAGCUUCCUGACUCCAAAUCCACGCCAGUUUCCCUAUUACCCAAUUGUCCUCUCUCCCUAUUUAAAAUUAUUCUAAUAGUAUUUAUCAUUUCUUUUUUGUAUCUAAUUACAAAGGGAACAUUGUAAGAAAUGUGGAAAACACUCAGAAGCACAAAAUGAAAUUGUCAAAGUCUCUAGAUGGAUUGAAUUCGUGGUCGCGCCUUUGGUAAACCUGCUCUCUUUUCUUGACAAUCCCUGGACAGGUGCGGUCUGUGGUUUCCUGGGACAAGAUUUUAUAAUUUGCAUGUAGAGAACACAAGGCAAAGGGGGUCCUGGAUUCUGUUAGCCCCUUGUGAACUAUGGCAUCUCCUCUGAACCUCAAUUUUCUCAUCCGUAAAAGGGGUUAUCACAUAUACCUUAGAGUAAAUUGAAUAAGGGCAAAGAUACACAAUUGCUUUAUAAAACAUAAAGUAUGUUGUUCAAAGAACAAAUGAAUGGUAAUGAGGGCAAUGGCCGGCACUUGAGGAGGGUGGGGUUGGCUUCUGCCACAGGCCCCCUGGGGCCCACUUUUUGGCUCACUGCAGCACAGCUUCCUUCCUCCUCCCCAAGUCCAAUUCCAGCUCUCAGGCCAGCCCCUCUCCCACUCGACCCCCAUGACAGUCCCCAAAAUGAGGCCCUGCUCCAGAACCCUCCAAGGAUGGAUGAAUAGGCUGGGUGGGCACUGGGGGGUGGCCAUGGGGGCUAGGGUGGCCGCAGGGGGGACAGGCAGCUCUCUUUCACCUAGAGUAUCUUCCUUUGCUGGACCUGAAAGCCUGCCAGGCUUAUUGCUCAGAUCCAUGAUCCCAGUCACCUUGGGCUGGUAACUCUGUCCCAGAUAAAAUGCCAGCAAUUUCUCCUAUUGCUUCCUAUAGUUUCCCUACCCUGAGUGGGAAGGAUUUUCAUACCCAUUUUAUAGAUGAGGAAAACAAGGCUGUUGGCACUCCUAACGGAAAUGUUUGCCUAUGAAAAGGAAGCUCUCAAGAACCCAAAGGAACCAAGGUGGUGCUUCAGUUGCUGGGUCUGAGCUGUUGUUGGUUGGGGGCCGUGGGGUCCUGAGGCGGUCCUGUCUUCCUUAAUCCUGUUGCAGGCAUGUGGGGACUAGAAGUGGCCUUCAUUGCCCCCUGCCUCUCUUCCUUGUCUGUGGAGCAGGACGGAGAUGGGUGACAUGCUGUCACUCCCCUGUGCACCAGCAGAGAGAGCAGGAACAGAGACUGGUGCUGGCUCAUGCCAGCUGAGCACUAAGGAGGUCCACUGGCUGGGAUUCCACUGGUGUCUGUCCCUGGGCGUCACCACACCUGGGAGGCUGGCGUGGGUGCCUGAGACCAGGAAGGUGCUUGAGACCCAUGAGGGUCUUGGCAGGUGCUGGCCACCCCGCAUUAAUCACCUCAACUGAAUCUGGACUUCAAGGGACAAAGGUAAGUCCAUGUGGGCCCUGCUAGGAGAGGCACUCUUCCUCCAAAGUCCUUUUGUCUGAGUGACAGCCUCCUCCUUGGUUGUUAGACAGAUCCAGCUCCCAGUUUCAGCUUUACCCUCUCACACCCUGACAGAGAACUUGGUCAGAUGUCUGAACCCUUCUUUGCUCCCCAAUCUGCUUAUCAGAAAGAUGGGCACCAUCACAAGGUCCCCUUUGUCUCCCCGAGGAAACAAAUGAAGGACCACUCAAAACCCUGUUUAAGUGUAAGAGAGUUUUACCGGGGAACAGACAAGAGAUGGCCUCUGGCCAGACUGGCAGGGAACCCAGGAGUCCAGGGAGAAGAAUCCUACAGAGACACCCCACUUUCCACAUGGAUGGCAAUCUUGGGUUUACCCAACAGAAACCCAGAACUUGCGCUGUCAGGAAGCCAGAUCCAGCCUCCUCCCCCGCCACAACUCCAUCCCUUUGAGAGCAUCACGGCUGAGAGCGGUGUUCUCUGCAUGCACCUCCUGCUGCAGGUGCAACAGCUCUCUUCUGGGGCUUCCUGGCACUGCCCCACAGGCCCCAUCAGCUUGGGGUUUAGGAAGUCCCUACCUCCCCUCUUGUGACCUCUGUAUCACGUCUUCAUCUCCCUGUGGAAGGUGCCUUUGAACUUGGCCAACCAGCACGAGCCAUGGCUGGGGAUUUCUGCAGAUGGCAGGGGGCUUUGGGAACCACCUUCAGUGGAAGCGUCUGAGUUCAAUGUGCCCAGGGCAGCCCUGGGAGGAAUCCGGCCAGGCCUUGUUAUUUUCAGAAAACAGGUGGUUCAGAACACCCUGCUCCAGGGCGUCGGUGGAAUCCCAGCCUGGCCCCUUUAAUGGGCCUUGUUGAGCAGCCCCUGAUCCAGCGGUGAUAAGGAGGUCCCGCUGCUGGGGACAGCACCCGGAACCAGCCACGAUCUCCUAUCUUCUGUCCUCACAGGCGUUCACUGGAGUUCAGCGGCUUCCAUUUAUCAGGCAGAUGUAAUCUCCUCAAAUAGCUGCCAAGUCCUGCUCUUCCUGGAGUUCCCUAAGACAACUGCUUCCCCAGGAGGUGAAGGGGCAUUUCCUUCCCCAGGAAGAGAUGCCAUCUGCAUGCAGUAACUGGUCCUUAGAGAAUGCUUGCCGAUUGGAUGGAUGGAUAACAGAUGAGUGAGUGGAUAAAUACACCGAAGAGUUCAACACAGUUAGGGAGGUAAGCACUGUCACACAUGGACAUACAAAUUGCCAUGGAUGGAAGAGGAGGUUCUAACUCAUCUAGGUAAGAGAGAGAGGAGCAGAAGGACAUUUCUGCUGAAUGGUAUUGUGCUGGGGCACUUUUUAGGUGGUCCUUUACCUGUAGAAAGUCAUCUAGUGAAUGGGGUGGCCGGUGUUUUGUGGCGCUGAUCCUAAGUGCUGGGCAUUUUUCAUGGAAAUCAAGCUGAAAAGUCCCAAUGUCCCCUCUUGAGACUCUAACUCACAGGGCUAGAACAUGCCCUAGGCCUUCCCCUGGGAUAAACUAUCAUGAAACAUUGUCAGGAAGAGUCUGAAGGCUGGAUGCCAGGCUACCAAGGAGGCAGAGGAAACCACCACGAACAUGCCACGUGUCCUAGGGUCAGACAAGCCUGCCCUCAGAACUGCUCCCAGUGACAGGGGGAAGACAGUAACUUACCCUCUGUUGCAGGUGUGGAAAUCAAGGCUACGAGUUGGAAGUCACCUCCUCUCAAUCAACCAGCCUGUGCUUGGUGGACAAAAGCCUGAAACCUCAGCUUUGGGGUCCAAAAGCCCCCCUCCUCGUGUUCCUCCCACUGCCUGGGGCACUACAGGGCCACCAGGGAGACUGACGCUGGAGCCAGUGGGUAGGAGGGGGUCCUGGUAGUCAGAUGGGUGGGGCAGCAGGCUGCAAGUGAGGAAGACAGCACACGUGUUUGUGAGUGUAAGGGUAAGGGCUUAAGUGGUUCCUUUCACUCAUUCACUUAUUCAUCCAUCACCCAGUCAUUCAGACACAUUCAUUGAUCACCUUUUAGGCACUGGGAGCUAUUCUAGAGGCCGUGCCGAACAAAACAGGCAGGAUCUCUAUAUCCUGGAGUUGAUGUUACAGAAUGGGGAGACAGAAAACGAACCAGAUGAGCCAAAUGACUGCAGGAGACCAGGGAGAUGGAGAAGACAGAUGUGGUACAGACCAGGAUGAGUAUAAGCGUAGACGGGGCCAAGGCGGCCUCAUGGAGUUAAGAAUGCUGAGCUCAGAUCUGCCCAAGGAGUUGGCUGUGGGAAGGCUGAGGGGAAGAAUCCCAGGCAAAGGGCCCAGAGGGGUGGACUGGUGUCAGAGUUGGGCUCCUGGAGUAUUCAGGAGAGUCACAGCCCAGGGGCAGAGGAGCAGGGGGCUCAUAGAGCUGCUUUAGAGACAGCCGGUGAGAAAGCAACCACGACCCACCUCCCUCCGCGGAGAGGCUGUGGAGGGAACCUUCUACUUCUGCCAAAUUUUGCUAUCAAUGCUUGCUCCCUUUGCCCAGAGAGAGAAAGUUGGCCAGCACAACAGGGGCAGACCCUGGCUCAAAUCCCCGCCAUAGCAGAGGCCAUGAUUUGUCUCCUCCUAUCCUUUUCUCCUCCUCUCUUUGGUCAUAUGACCCCUUGCCUUUUAUUUGGGCACCUGGCUGCCAAAUGAAAGACCACAUUCCCCAGCCUCCCCUGACACUUAAGGAAAUCUCAUCAAGGAGACGUAGUGUAAGGAUGAUGUAGCCACUUGCAGGACCUUCCCGAAAAGACAGUGAGCUCAGGUACUUUGCUUUCUCUCCUCCCCUCUGGCGAACUGGUGUCCAGGCAUGUUGGCUGAGGCUGUACCAGCUUCCUGGGACCUUGAGGUGGUAGUCGGAGUAUUGUCCAUACAUGGUAACCUCAAUGGAAAGAAAUCUGUGUCAGGAACUUCAGACUUCCUACAUCCCAGCUGUGACUCCAAAGAAGUAAACGUCUAUCUCAUGAAGGGGCGAUUGCUGUAAUAAUAGUAGCCUUGCUUUAUUGGCAAACCUACACAGCUACCCAGAGAGGAGAGGCACAUGCCAAUUCAGCCAGGCCCGAGGACACAGGCUGUGGGGUGCCCAGGACGAUGGGGUGGCUGGCCUCAAGAGACCAUAGCCUCCUUUGGUCUGCAGCAAGAAGUGCAUGAGAGGCCAGCAGUGUGAAUCCUUUACCACGGUGAGCACACGGAAGGGUGAGAAAUCUUGCUGCCUUGGUGGGAUGAUCAGCUGUUUUGGUGGCUUGUGGGGACCGACGAGGAUUCUCUCCUUGACCAAACCCCAGCCAGGCUCCUCUGAGCCCUCUUCUGGACUAAGCCUCAACCUUGGACUAUAAAGUCCUGAUCAGACACUAACAUAGUUUCUAACAGCUUCAGCCCACAUCCCUGGGAUGAUGCUGGUCCCUCAAAAGUCCCUGCAUGGGAAAACUCCAGGCUGCCCGAAGAACUGACCAUCCCAGCCAUCACUGGAAGAGGGGGCCGUCCUUCCAGUCUCUGUGGGAGGGGAGCAGCUUACAAAGUCAGUUGGCCAACCCCCUUCACAUGGGCUUCAGAGUGACCAGCACCUCCUUCCUGCUUUUUAUAAUUCUUCACUUCCCAGAGUCUCCUGAGCCCCUGCUCAGUCCCUCUUCCCUGGCUCUCCCUUUGAAACAGCCAGUCACCUCUGCAUAAGUCCACAUUGAAUUCAGUUCACGCUGGAUUCUUCUCCCUACUGCAAUGGUUAUUACUGAUUAAAAUCCGUCCUGACUACAUUAGCUAGUGUCCAGCUCCGCUUAUAUUUAACAGUACCAGAGACUGGAGGACCAUGGGUUCGAUGUCAGAGCUGGGACUCUGCCCGCCCAGUGAGUGAUGAUGCCGCCCCUGGGCUGUGGCUGUAGUGGUUUGUGGCGAGGUGGGGGUGGCAGGGCUUGGCUGGAUCCCUACAGAGUUCAGAUCUUCCCAGGUGCCGCCAAAGGGCAGGGACUCAGCCCUGAGGAUGGAUUUUCUAGGAAGGGCUGGCACACAUAUUUGUCCUCAGAUUGCCACUCUGUGAAGGUGAAAGGCUGAACCAUGGGGUGGGUGUGUUCCUGUUACCAGAGGGGAGGUUUCUUGCAGGAGAGAUGGCAGGGCUCCCGCGGCUCCUUCCCACCGAGGCCGUGACCCCCAUUCCCCUGCUCCUGUUUGCUCUGUCUGGUCUAACGCUCUGCAACUCCCACCCCAGGCUCUGUUUUUCUUUACUUCGCUGUAAAUGUCAAAAAUGUCAGUUUUAUACAAAGUCAAUUGGAGGUCUUUUUGACCUCUAGGGCUGGAGGGUGGCACCAGCAUCUCGCCCUCCAGAUCUGAGUUUUACUGCUCUGAUGACCCCAUAGCGGGAUUCCCAGGACCAUUCUGAAUUUCCCCUUAAUUCAACAUGCCUGUUCUACUCAAUGUCUGGGUGUCCCGGAGUGCUCUCCUGGCUGCUGUGGACACACAGGUUCAGUCCAGAACUCUUUUGUCCAUCAGCAUGCUCCUCUUGUUGAGACAUUGGAUGUGGUCAGCUCAUUAACAGGGAGCACACUCCCUCCGAUCACCAUCAGCAGUGUGAAAGCAUUAAGUAGCACAAUGGGCAUGGGCUGGUUGGCUCCUUCCCACCUCCCCUCCUCUCCCCCUGGGCCGACCUCCCACCAUUGUUUGGGUCGUUCGGCCAUCACCCAGCUCAGAGGAGCCAAGACAGGGAGAGGAUCUGUGGGCACAGACAACCCCACCUAAGCAGGGUUCCUCGGCCUCCUCUGCAAGAUGGACUUUUUGGGCUGCAUAAUUCUUGGCCACUGGGCAUGGGGGGCUGUCCUGUGUAUUGUUGGGCUCUUAGCAACACCCCUGGUCUGUACCCACAAGAAGCCAGCAGCACCCUUCUCCCCUAAUUGUGACCCCAAACUUCUCCAAACACUGCCAAACAUCCCCUGAAGGCAAAAAUGCCUGGGGUUGAAACCCCUGAUCUAGGGAAAGAACAGAGCAAGAAGAGGUGAGGCCAAUCCAAACUCACCCCUGCCUCUUCAGCUGAAGGAGCAGUGCAGUCUGGUGCCAAGAGCCUAGCCUUGGAGCCUUCUGUCCUCGUUCACAGCCUGUCUUCACCACAUAUUAGCCGUGUGUGUUUGUAGCUGCUGCAUGCCUGCGAGGUGACAGUCUUUCUGUGCCUUGGUUUAUUCAUCUAGACAGGGGAAACCCUGGUAAUGGCCCCAAUGAGCUCUGUGACUAGCGGGUGGUGCCGAAUGAGCGCUGGACCAGGUUACACAUCAACGAGAUCCUGUGUAGAAAGGCUGUGUCCUGUAUUCUUAGACUCUGUGCCCCCAGAUCAUUAUCUAGUCCUUGCCCCCACUCCAGCAUCCCCUGAGUGAAGCACUCACAGCCCCUGGGAGGCACCAAGCUCCCUCUUGCAGCUUCAGCUUUGCCCUCAGCUCUGCCCCUGGCCCAGGAUGCGGGAUGCAGGAUUGCGAGCUCUUUUCAUCUCCUUCCUCACCCAGCCUACCCCCUACUCAGGUUUCAGGGUCACUUCCUCCAGGACCUCCUCCUGCCCUCCCAAGACAGGGUUAAUUACCUCUCUGAGCUUGUCCCCCCGCCCUUCACCCCACCCUCCAUUUAGCUCCUAGGUCAAGGGCUUGCAGGCAGGUAUUUAUUGGGGGAAAUGAUCUCAGGGUGGGUGCACUUGAAAGAGUCAAACAGGAAAGAAGAAGCCAUGAAUGUGCCAUUGAGCUGGUUACAACUCUGGGCAAGCUUCUGAAAAGUGCCUGUGAAUUUCACGCCCUUGAUGGAACACAGGAGAGUUUUUCCAGCAGUUCACAUACUCCAUGGGUUGGGUUGCCCCAGGGGGUGUUGACCCCUCACGUGCACCAGUGUGGCUGAGCGACUCAUAGGUGUCCCACCAGGUGGUGGCAGAGGCUCUGGGACAGGAGGCAGGGGACAUGGAACAGCUGAGGUUUGGUGUUGUCCAGUCACCUCUGAGGGCAGCUAAUUGUUGCAGCAGUAGCCAGAACAAUCAUGGGCUGACGUGUUAGACGAGGCAUGAACACCUGUGAUGCAAGUGCCUCUUCAAUCUCCUCCAUGCCCCAUCCCUCCCCUA